GACGAACGCUGGCGGCGUGCUUAACACAUGCAAGUCGAACGGAAAGGCCCUGCUUUUGUGGGGUGCUCGAGUGGCGAACGGGUGAGUAACACGUGAGUAACCUGCCCUUGACUUUGGGAUAACUUCAGGAAACUGGGGCUAAUACCGGAUAGGAGCUCCUGCUGCAUGGUGGGGGUUGGAAAGUUUCGGCGGUUGGGGAUGGACUCGCGGCUUAUCAGCUUGUUGGUGGGGUAGUGGCUUACCAAGGCUUUGACGGGUAGCCGGCCUGAGAGGGUGACCGGGCACAUUGGGACUGAGAUACGGCCCAGACUCCUACGGGAGGCAGGAGUGGGGAAUAUUGCACAAUGGGCGGAAGCCUGAUGCAGCAACGCCGCGUGCGGGAUGACGGCCUUCGGGUUGUAAACCGCUUUCGCCUGUGACGAAGCGUGAGUGACGGUAAUGGGUAAAGAAGCACCGGCUAACUACGUG
rnacentral:rRNA from 1 species